rnacentral:rRNA from 1 species
AGAGUUUGAUCAUGGCUCAGGAUGAACGCUGGCGGCGUGCUUAACACAUGCAAGUCGAGCGGAAAGGCUCCUUCGGGGGUACUCGAGCGGCGAACGGGUGAGUAACACGUGAGUAAUCUGCCCUUGGCUUUGGGAUAAGCCCCGGAAACGGGGUCUAAUACCGGAUACGACGCACUCUCGCAUGGGAUGUGUGUGGAAAGUUUUUUCGGCCAGGGAUGUGCUCGCGGCCUAUCAGCUUGUUGGUGGGGUAAUGGCCUACCAAGGCUUCGACGGUAGCCGGCCUGAGAGGGUGACCGGCCACACUGGGACUGAGACACGGCCCAGACUCCUACGGGAGGCAGCAGUGGGGAAUAUUGGACAAUGGGCGGAAGCCUGAUCCAGCAACGCCGCGUGAGGGAUGACGGCCUUCGGGUUGUAAACCUCUUUCAGUACCGACGAAGCGCCGAUGAUGGUGGUGACGGUAGGUACAGAAGAAGCACCGGCCAACUACGUG